AUUGAACGCUGGCGGCAUGCCUUACACAUGCAAGUCGAACGGUAACAGGUUAAGCUGACGAGUGGCGACCGGGUGAGUAAUGUAUCGGAACGUGCCCAGUCGUGGGGGAUAACUGCUCGAAAGAGCAGCUAAUACCGCAUACGACCUGAGGGUGAAAGCGGGGGCUCGCAAGACCUCGCGCGAUUGGAGCGGCCGAUAUCAGAUUAGGUAGUUGGUGAGGUAAAGGCUCACCAAGCCGACGAUCUGUAGCUGGUCUGAGAGGACGACCAGCCACACUGGGACUGAGACACGGCCCAGACUCCUACGGGAGGCAGCAGUGGGGAAUUUUGGACAAUGGGCGCAAGCCUGAUCCAGCCAUGCCGCGUGCGGGAAGAAGGCCUUCGGGUUGUAAACCGCUUUUGUCAGGGAAGAAAAGGUUCUGGCUAAUACCUGGGACUCAUGACGGUACCUGAAGAAUAAGCACCGGCUAACUACGUG
rnacentral:rRNA from 1 species